AGUAGUUUUUUUUUCAAUACAAUAAUUGUAUCACAAGUAUCUUUCGUGUCAUUUUUGUUAGUAUCUAGUAUUAUUUAUUAAUGAGAUAGUUCUAGUAUAUAAUUGAAUUGAAAACGAUUUCCACCAAUCAUUUAUUGAGAGUCGAACUUGAUAAGAACGCUGCAUUGGAGUUACAUUCUUGUUUAAUGAUAGUUGACCUUAUGUCAUAGCGUAACGGCCUGGAUUGAGAAUUUCCCGAGGUCGAGUUCGGGAUGUAUCUCCCGGGUCAUGUGGAAAAGAGAAAGCUAGAUAUGGGGCUGUAGGAGCAAAAACGAGCAACUAGAUCGUGCUCUCAAAACCCGAGCCUCCCCGAGGGUUCUCGUGGUAUGACGUAGUUCCGGGGAGCUAGGUCUGAUAGCGCUUUCCCUGAUCUGAGGGUUCACAGUCUUACAUUUAGCCCCAGUUUGCCCACGAGGUUGGUUGUGCGCGUUUUUGUUCGGGUUUCGUUAUUUCGUUUAAGCUAGAAAUAAGCCGUGUGUGUGUCAGGUUACCAAUUUUGUGUGCCUAAGAAAAUCAAGAGCGAUCGCCAAAAACAGCAGCAGGCCCCCUGCCACACACCACACCCCGAUACACCAGCCCGUUGGGCAUACCUUCUUCGCUGGAAAUCAAACCACCAGCUCGCCCGAUUCGUCAACAUAUCGGCAUCCGAAGAAGUCUGGGAGAUUCUGGUGGCACUGGAAGCUACAUCCGGUGUAAGCAACCCCGAUUACACCAGCAUACAUCCGGUCAAACCACUAUUACCAUCCACCACUCACCGAAUGAAAUCUGAGUUGCGAACAGCCAAUCAUCGUCGCCGUCGUCAGCGAGCCACAGCAGCAGCAGCAGAUACAACCAAGUAGGUGCUUUCCAGUAGGGGUUCAUCCAUAAAGGAUGACACCUUUCAUAUAACCAAUUGAUCGAUCAUAACCUUUUUUAAUCGGGACGGUUACAAUAAUCCGUUUCCCCGAAGUCAGGUUGCCGAGGCAUUUUGGUCCACCAUUCCAUCCUUUAUGACCGCCCCAACCUAGAAAAACUAAAUAUUCCCCGGGAAGAGCGAUGAAAACAAGAGCACGGAGAACUAGGUAGAGAAAAAGGCACACGGCUAGGUAUAGAGUAGGGUAGCUAGAGUAAUGAUCGUGUUAAUCGUUAAAUGUUAAUUUAUUACUCUUAAUUAAAAUGUAUCCCCUCACCAUCUACAUUCGCCCUUUGAUUACGUUAAUACACUAAAUCCAAAUCCUAGCCAGAAUUUUUAAAUUGAAGAGAAAUGACAACUUCACUUUCGGUCGUUAGUCCAUUCGUCAGCUCGCUCUGCGCUUGGCGCAUUUGAAUUCGAGUCCACCACGCUUCCAGGCUUGGGGAGUUAUUCUGGGAAUGAACGUUUGACUGUCCAAUGAUGAGUGUUUCGGGCAUGGGUGCCGUCGAAGAAUCGUGAGUCCUUGGUCGGCUUGAGGCGUUGUGGUCACGUGUCGAUGUUGACAGACGUUCGUUGCGUUAGGCGAAAGUCUGAGUUUGGUCGUUUCGAAAUCCUCGUAGUCUUCGCUGUUCUCUGCCUUCCCUUGUUUUGGGGAGCAAUGCAAAACGACUCGUUCAAAGGAGUCUCAUCCGGGCAAAAACCAGCUGUGCGGUCUCCCUUCAGGAGUGGCGCUUUUUAAGCCGCACGGAAAAUCCAACAGUCAGAGCAGCACCGACUACAUAUUGGCGCCCAAUGUAAAAUAGAAAAAUGCCAUAUGCAUCUACAUAUUGCAAAAAGUUCAAAUCCUAACAUUCGAAUAUUAAUUGUCGUCCAUCGUUUCAGUUCGAGUUCAUAAAUAUGAAAAAUUAAUGAGUAGUAUUAUUUGGAUAAUUCGUUUAAAUUAUUUGUAGUAAAUCGUCCAUCAUGUACAAAGGUACCGUUUGUAAUUACGUGGGAGAAAGUUUCGUUACGACUGUGUUAUAAACCAACAUGUUAAGUAAUUUCAUCGUGUGAACAUUGUUCACAGAAAAUUUGAGUAGACCAAGUCUACAGUAAUCGAGCGGAAAAUUCGCAGUAUAGUAGUUUUGUGAUAUUUGAAACCAAAGAACUGUUUGUUUCAGAUUUAUAUUUAUUGUUGCGUUAACUCGGUGGAAUUAUCGAUUAACUGUGAUAUAUCUGUUAAUUUAUUUAUUAUUAUACUAGCUUUAG